rnacentral:rRNA from 1 species
GAUGAACGCUGGCGGCGUGCCUAAUACAUGCAAGUAGAACGCUGAAGCUUGGUGCUUGCACCGAGCGGAUGAGUUGCGAACGGGUGAGUAACGCGUAGGUAACCUGCCUCUUAGCGGGGGAUAACUAUUGGAAACGAUAGCUAAUACCGCAUAAAAGACGAUAUCGCAUGAUAUUGAUUUGAAAGGUGCAAUUGCAUCACUAAGAGAUGGACCUGCGUUGUAUUAGCUAGUUGGUGAGGUAACGGCUCACCAAGGCGACGAUACAUAGCCGACCUGAGAGGGUGAUCGGCCACACUGGGACUGAGACACGGCCCAGACUCCUACGGGAGGCAGCAGUAGGGAAUCUUCGGCGAUGGGGGCAACCCUGACCGAGCAACGCCGCGUGAGUGAAGAAGGUUUUCGGAUCGUAAAGCUCUGUUGUAAGAGAAGAACGAGUGUGAGAGUGGAAAGUUCACACUGUGACGGUAACUUACCAGAAAGGGACGGCUAACUACGUGCCAGCAGCCGCGGUAAUACGUAGGUCCCGAGCGUUAUCCGGAUUUAUUGGGCGUAAAGCGAGCGCAGGCGGUUAGAUAAGUCUGAAGUUAAAGGCUGUGGCUUAACCAUAGUACGCUUUGGAAACUGUUUAACUUGAGUGCAGAAGGGGAGAGUGGAAUUCCAUGUGUAGCGGUGAAAUGCGUAGAUAUAUGGAAGGAACACCGGUGGGCGAAAGCGGCUCUCUGGUCUGUAACUGACGCUGANGNUCNAAAGCGUGGGGAGCAAACAGG